rnacentral:lncRNA from 1 species
CUUUUAUAGCUAUUGUUUUACAAUGCUUUAUUUUAACAUGUCGGCUCUUACAAUCAAUAGCACUUGCCAUUAAUGUUUUAUUUAUUUACACCGUAUGAUUACAUUAAAAUACUUGUCUGUCAUGGUGUUUAUUCCAAAAACGCCUACCCAUAGGUUCAAAAGGCUUCACCGCCGAUUGGUUCAGGAAUUUAAUGUUUACCUUGUCAAUUUUCAGAUCAAAUUGACUAGCACACCUUGUACCAUUCGAGCCAAUUUUGGAAACUGCUCUGUGUUGUUCAACGCAGAAGCCUGAGUUACAGAUUUUGCGUCAACAACGUGAUAUAGAGCCAGUUUAGUAGAGCUUUUGCCGGCUCCAGCUCCUCCCGACAAAACUCUGUAGCAACACUGUAGCGAUGAUGUUCACUGGACUUGAUCUUCUCUCUCCUCUCCGUCCCUCUCACAGCCAAAGGAAAAGCGGUGAACCUGACUCCUCC